rnacentral:snRNA from 1 species
GUGCUUGAAAUUGUCGGGA